GACGAACGCUGGCGGCGUGCUUAACACAUGCAAGUCGAACGGAAAGGCCCUGCUCUUGUGGGGUGCUCGAGUGGCGAACGGGUGAGUAACACGUGAGUAACCUGCCCUUGACUUUGGGAUAACUUCAGGAAACUGGGGCUAAUACCGGAUAUGAGCUCCUGCUGCAUGGUGGGGGUUGGAAAGUUUCGGCGGUUGGGGAUGGACUCGCGGCUUAUCAGCUUGUUGGUGGGGUAGUGGCUUACCAAGGCUUUGACGGGUAGCCGGCCUGAGAGGGUGACCGGCCACAUUGGGCCUGAGAUACGGCCCAGACUCCUACGGGAGGCAGCAGUGGGGAAUAUUGCACAAUGGGCGGAAGCGUGAUGCAGCAGCGCCGCGUGCGGGAAGACGGCCUUCGGGUUGUAAACCGCUUUCGCCUGUGACGAAGCGUGAGUGACGGUAAUGGGUAAAGAAGCACCGGCUAACUACGUG
rnacentral:rRNA from 1 species